rnacentral:rRNA from 1 species
AACGAACGCUGGCGGCAUGCCUAACACAUGCAAGUCGAACGAUUGCCUUCGGGUGAUAGUGGCGCACGGGUGCGUAACGCGUGGGAAUCUGCCCUUAGGUUCGGAAUAACAGCUGGAAACGGCUGCUAAUACCGGAUGAUAUCGCGAGAUCAAAGAUUUAUCGCCUGAGGAUGAGCCCGCGUUGGAUUAGGUAGUUGGUGGGGUAAAGGCCUACCAAGCCGACGAUCCAUAGCUGGUCUGAGAGGAUGAACAGCCACACUGGGACUGAGACACGGCCCAGACUCCUACGGGAGGCAGCAGUGGGGGAUAUUGAACAAUGGGCGGAAGCCUGAUCCAGCAAUGCCGCGUGAGUGAUGAAGGCCCUAGGGUUGUAAAGCUCUAUUACCCGGGAAGAUAAUGACUGUACCGGGAGAAUAAGCCCCGGCUAACUCCGUG